GCCGGAAUAGCUCAGUUG
rnacentral:tRNA from 25 species